GUUUUAAAUCAUAUUGAUAAUUAAGAUCUGUAUAUGUACAUAUACAUUAGAAUGUAAAAAUAGUCAAGUCUGACCCGUUCAUUUCCUGUAAAGCGCAAGUAAACACAGACUUUGUCCAGCCGGGUCGACAUGUUUUAGUAUGGUUUAGAUAGGGUUGCCAUACGUCAGGAAUUCAAGAUUGGAAAAACGGAAUUCAAGAUUAUCAGCCAUAUGCAAAGAUGUGGAUAUGACACACAUCUUCAACAGGGAAUGAGUCUCAUGAGCAAAGAAAUUCUGUAGACUUGCUUGACCAAAUGUUAAACCUUAUAGAACACUUGAUGCACCCAACUAAGGCAGAAGAAAGGUUAGUAAAAUCAACAGCUAUAGUGACAUUAAAUAUAAUACUGUAUUUCAAGUUGACAGCCACAAACUCUGCAUAUCACAACAAUACAUCAAUAUUUUCAGUUAUGAUAACUUUAAUCUUUUGAAUACAUCUUUGUAAAUACUGAUAUUUCAUAAUUUUGAGUUUGCAGAAAGGAAAAAAAAUGAAGAUACAUUUUAUUAGUUUUCUAUAUACUGCCAAUAGCAAUCUGCAGUCAAGAUGGAGUGGUAGCAUUCAAGGCAUGUCUCCUACUGGUGUUCCCGGCAGAGCCUCCCUUUCUUUCCGCAACUUCUUCAACUGUAAACAAAGGAUAAACAUGUAUUAUUAGGUUAAUAAAUUCCUAUAUAGGAAUUGGUUAUAACUGAUUUUAGGAUUACUUUCAUUGUUUCAGCUCUGGAUCUAGAUAAUACAAAACAAAUUAUUAUCACCUCUAAUCUAUCUCAUUACAAGCUACUACUGAAAUAUCAAUACUAUUGGCAUGCAGACAUAAGAAGCUAGAGGGUUUUGUUGCUUAGAUUUAAGCAAGCAAAGUAGCAUACACAUUGUAGGUUUAGUCAUGCAUUCAAAUAAAUAAUACUUAUAAUGGCAUGUCAGAUGCAAUGCCUGCAGUAACUGUUGCAGUAUUUGGAAGAAACUCAAAUCACUUGCAUAAACGUUGUGCAUAGACAAAUGAUGAAUAAUUAAUUCAUCAUUGAUAUCGGCUUUCUAUUCUACAUGGAAUCAAAUAAUGACAAAAAGGAAACAGAUGCCACAGUUUUCUAUUUGUAUAGUUCACUGCUCUGUGAAUGUUUAAAAUACACCCAAGGCUGGUUUUAAGCCUAUUUGACCAAUUUUAUAAAACUGAACCCCGCACCUUAAGGGGCCCAGUGCCAGAGGUGACAGAGUUACUGGUUGAAGCCUUUUCUGUAUUCUAAGAGGAAUAAACCACUACUGAAAAUGUGAAAUGAAGAAUGAGAAAUUAUUAUUCCUCACAUUAUUAAUUUACUAUGCAUACUAUAUUAUUUUGGUUAAAGACGAGCAUACUCUACGAAAUAUAAACAUACAUAAAUUUUUACUUUUGUAAAGUAGGGGCCCCGCCAUCAGUUUUCUAAUUGGCCCCCACAAUUCCUAGCACUGGCCCUGAAUACACCAGUAAUUAUUACUAAUAAAUUUUAUAACAAAGCCUUACUCUAAAUGUUAAGGAUGUUGAAAUAAAAAUAUACAAAAUAGUGCAGAAAUGGUUGAAAUAAUUAUGAUUGUAAUCCUUCAUGUUACAAAACAAGUUAGUAUUCUAGUUUCUUGUCUAAAAUGCACAUAAUUUGGUAAUACUGAUGAAAUACAUGGACUGAGUGCCCAUGUGGCUCCCUAGCUAGUCAGAGUUGCAAGGAUCUUCACUUAAGUAGAAGAGAGAAGAUCUAAAUUUCAUCACUUCACAUUCAAUAUCCUGUUUGUGAUCAUAAAAGUAAGAGUACAAAUAUGAGUUAGGGGGUUUUCUUGAUAUUAAAUUGAUUUCCAAAAGCAAAAUCCCGAAGAAUUUGUUCAGUUUCAACAUUAUAUCUUAUUUCACAUAAAAUGUUUCCCAAAGAACAUGCAUCACAACACUUUUCUGGAUGUAAGCAUAUAUAUUUAGUCAUCUAGUGUAUUUGGUAAGAAAAAUAAAUUUCAUUAAACCUCAUCCUCCUGAAAAUAGUAUAAGUGAACAAUUAGUUAUACACAUUUUUUUUAAAUUUUUUAUGUGUGCAAAUGUUAGCUACAAACUAGGCAACAAUAAAACCCUCAAAUACCAUCUGUUUAAGAAUCCAAACCUAGGAACAUAUAUGUUAUAUCUUAUAAUACUUAUGACAACAAAACCUCGCUAUUAUUAAUUCUUCUUAAGUUUGUCAACUUCAUCAAAUUUUCUACUACUACAGUAGGAUAAACUUUAUUAUUUUCAUAAGUCUCUUGACUAUGAAUGUUAUAAUUACUGAAAGAUUCUUGCUUAAAGCCUCACAUGUAGUACUUGGGGGUUUCACUGUUGAGUGACCAGUUAAGGUAUCUAAACAAGCAUCUAGUUUUAAGAAAGACAUUUCAACAUUAGUUACAUUUUGAACAUAGCUCUUUGCAUUCACAGCCAGUUAUUAGUGAGGUAACUGAUAAGUGUGUAGUGAUUAAGGAAGAGAUUUUGCUUUCUUCCUAUAGCACCUGAAACAGGUUACACUUUCUAAGAUGUCCUUGUAACUCUGGAACUCAGCAUAUGAUAUAACAGUCACCACUUAUGGUGAACAGUGACUGGCUCUUCAGGUGACCCAGGGAGGAGACCCUCCGCACUGGCCUCAAUCUUCUGAAACUGGAACAUUGAGGCAACUUGUCAAAGAAGUUUUAUCUUUUCAGAAACUAUCACCCACUGGAUAUGGCAAGCAUGCAUGUUAUUUCUUUUCCUUGUAUUAAAAAGUCUUCUUUUUUAUGAAGUUAAAGGUCACAAUUCUGUUGUUCCUCAAGGAAGUACAUGUUAAAAUCAGAAGCAGCUAAAGCAAGGCUGAAUAAUUUACAUAAUUGCAGAAAUAUAUCUUGUAAAUUUCUUCUUUCCAUGAAAGAACUGCAGAUAAGCAUAAUUUCAAAAAAAUAUAUAAAUAUGUAUAUAGUUAUCUUCCUGUGUAUAAUGUACAAUAGAUAUUGAACAAUCAAGGUUUUGUUCACUCUUACACCUGCAGUAGAAAAUCAGGCUUUCCUGCAAACUUCUGCAGUGUAAACCAUUUGAGUAUAGCAUUCUAACAACCCAAUUCAGAGAAUACUUGCAUAUGCUUUAUUGAUUUUCUUUUUCUUUUUAACCACCAGCAAAACAACAUUUUUUUCAGCAGCAAAAUUGUAUCUCCCCUUUUGUUACUGAAUAAAGAGACACUGACAUAA